rnacentral:rRNA from 1 species
UGGGGAAUCUUAGACAAUGGGCGCAAGCCUGAUCUAGCCAUGCCGCGUGAGUGAUGAAGGCCUUAGGGUCGUAAAGCUCUUUCGCCAGGGAAGAUAAUGACGGUACCUGGUAAAGAAACCCCGGCUAACUCCGUGCCAGCAGCCGCGGUAAUACGGAGGGGGUUAGCGUUGUUCGGAAUUACUGGGCGUAAAGCGCGCGUAGGCGGACUGGAAAGUUGGGGGUGAAAUCCCGGGGCUCAACCUCGGAACUGCCUCCAAAACUGUCAGUCUGGAGUUCGAGAGAGGUGAGUGGAAUUCCGAGUGUAGAGGUGAAAUUCGUAGAUAUUCGGAGGAACACCAGUGGCGAAGGCGGCUCACUGGCUCGAUACUGACGCUGAGGUGCGAAAGUGUGGGGAGCAAACA